ACCAUGGCAGACAAGUCUGGUUGAUGGACGCAGACUUUCAGAACUCUUCAUCAACAAGACUCGAUGAAGGGUGAUAUUAAAACUCUAUUCUGAGAUUACAAAAGAAUGUGGAAAUCAGAAUUAGGAGUUUUAAAGAAAGAGGUGGAGAAUCUCUCUGGUAGGAUACUUACGUUGAUGAAAACAGUGAGGCUAACUAAACGGUAUUGAUAUCACACGGUACUAAAUCAGAUAAAAUUCUGCAAGAUGCCGCAGACAGUUUGAGUAGCCUGUAGUAUACUGUUAAAACACAUAGACCUUUACGGAAUGUCUUUACAGAUAUUGCAUUUUCCUACAAAAAUGUGCCCAUUUGUCGUACGGUUUUAUUCUACAGCCUUUUACAGGCAAGUUAUAGCAGUAUUAAUUAUUAGAUGUCUGGGUAGACAUUCUUCAUCAUAUAAUGUGUUUUUUAUUAGUAGCAGCACAACUACUCAUAAAACUUCCAUUAUUUUCCUGUACGUGGCAGUUAUAAAACCAAUAU